rnacentral:lncRNA from 1 species
GGCCUAGCAUAAGUGUUAUUCAGGAUGAAGUUAUACAAGGGCUUGAGAAUCUUGCAUUCCUCAAGAUGACAUCCAUUGCAACAGGUCAGAAUUCUUUAUGAGUGCUGCAUUAUGGCCCACUUCACGCUUAAGAACAAACAUGAGGAUUUCAGAGCUGAAUCAACGUUAGACUCUUAAAAAACAAUUGUAUCAUAUUCAGUGAACACUGAUGAAAGCCUCAGAAGAAUGGAACCACCUGCAGCUUUAUCUACCCUACCCCAACAUUUUGUUUCUUUCUUGGUUCUCCUACUGCCCACCCUUUCCCCUUGAAAUACUGGAGUCCCCAAGCCCCCUUUGAAAUAAAAAGCACAAAUCA